rnacentral:rRNA from 1 species
UGAGACACGGUCCAAACUCCUACGGGAGGCAGCAGUGAGGAAUAUUGGUCAAUGGUCGGCAGACUGAACCAGCCAAGUCGCGUGAGGGAAGACGGCCCUACGGGUUGUAAACCUCUUUUGUCGGAGAGUAAAGUACGCUACGCGUAGCGUAUUGCAAGUAUCCGAAGAAAAAGCAUCGGCUAACUCCGUGCCAGCAGCCGCGGUAAUACGGAGGAUGCGAGCGUUAUCCGGAUUUAUUGGGUUUAAAGGGUGCGUAGGCGGCACGCCAAGUCAGCGGUGAAAUUUCCGGGCUCAACCCGGAGUGUGCCGUUGAAACUGGCGAGCUAGAGUGCACAAGAGGCAGGCGGAAUGCGUGGUGUAGCGGUGAAAUGCAUAGAUAUCACGCAGAACCCCGAUUGCGAAGGCAGCCUGCUAGGGUGCGACAGACGCUGAGGCACGAAAGCGUGGGUAUCGAACAGGAUUAGAUACCCUGGUAGUCCACGCAGUAAACGAUGAAUACUAACUGUUUGCGAUACAAUGUAAGCGGUACAGCGAAAGCGUUAAGUAUUCCACCUGGGGAGUACGCCGGCAACGGUGAAACUCAAAGGAAUUGACGGGGGCCCGCACAAGCGGAGGAACAUGUGGUUUAAUUCGAUGAUACGCGAGGAACCUUACCCGGGCUUAAAUUGCAGAUGAAUUACGGUGAAAGCCGUAAGCCGCAAGGCAUCUGUGAAGGUGCUGCAUGGUUGUCGUCAGCUCGUGCCGUGAGGUGUCGGCUUAAGUGCCAUAACGAGCGCAACCCCUCUCCUUAGUUGCCAUCAGGUCAUGCUGGGCACUCUGGGGACACUGCCACCGUAAGGUGUGAGGAAGGUGGGGAUGACGUCAAAUCAGCACGGCCCUUACGUCCGGGGCUACACACGUGUUACAAUGGGGGGUACAGAAGGCAGCUACACGGCGACGUGAUGCUAAUCCCUAAAGCCUCUCUCAGUUCGGAUUGGAGUCUGCAACCCGACUCCAUGAAGCUGGAUUCGCUAGUAAUCGCGCAUCAGCCAUGGCGCGGUGAAUACGUUCCC